AAGAAAGCAUGCAAGAGCUGCUAACUCAUGCUCCCGUAUUUAAACAUACGGCUUUCUUA
rnacentral:tRNA from 1 species